UACGUAGGGUGCAAGCGUUGUCCGGAAUUAUUGGGCGUAAAGAGCUCGUAGGCGGUUUGUCGCGUCUGCUGUGAAAACUCGGGGCUUAACUCCGGGCCUGCAGUGGGUACGGGCAGACUAGAGUGCGGUAGGGGAGACUGGAAUUCCUGGUGUAGCGGUGAAAUGCGCAGAUAUCAGGAGGAACACCCGUAGCGAAGGCGGCACUCUGGGCCGAUACUGACACUGAGGAGCGAAAGCGUGGGGAGCGAACAGG
rnacentral:rRNA from 1 species